CUGAUUCUCAAAACCUUAUCAGAGCCUGGGGCUUGAACAAAGCAGAGGAAAUGGAGGAGCAGAAGUUAACUUUAGUAUUCAACCACCUGCCAGCAGUCCCUCAAGCAGUCGCCAAGGCUCUCCACAACAGAGGCUGGAAUGAUAUAGUACAGGAAUGAAGGAGUCAUGUUAGGAAAGGGAGGAUGAGUAAGCUGAAGAUUGUGGUCUGUCCCUGCUGUAUACAACCAUAACCCUGGAAAAAACAUUUUUCUUUCAUUCUGCCUUCCCAAAACAAGGACUUAGAACCCAGCACACAGUGAAAGGCAAGUAGAAGGACUCUGCUUAAAUAAGAGGAAGCUGAGAGGUUUGUUCUGCUAAGUGAAGCUGGAAAUGCCUUAUCUAAUUCAGUUUCUGAGAAGAGCAAGUUGAGAUAUUGUCAGCAAAUCAUUUCUUUUCAUUCCAUUUCCCCCUGUUUUUAUUAAACUUUCUUUUUGUUAAGAUUACUAUUGUAUGGGUUAUUUCAUGAAGACCAUUCAAGAAGAAGAGAAACCUAAGUGCGGAAGAUUAACGAAUCUCCAGAACCUAUACCCUACCCAACAGCUUGGAAUGGACCCAUGUUAUGCCCCAUACAUUUUGAUUGCUUCUCCUUUGUCACUUGGGGAAGCAAACAUGACUGCUAGCUUUUAAUUUGGAGAAAAGGGAAGUGUCAGUAUUUGAUCUGUUUGACUUUCAUUAUGCACAGUCACAGAUAGAAUGGAAAUGAUGAGCAGACAAGUUCAUAAAAAUGAUCGUAUGGGAAAUUACAGCUGGAACAAGUUAUCACAUCUCUAUGGAUCCCACAUCUACAGUCUUACUUUAUAAGAGCAUAAAAAUGUGAAUCAGGGCCAAUGAAACAGUUUUUGUUGCUUAGUCCUUUAAGAAAAUACAAGACCCUGGAAA